rnacentral:misc_RNA from 1 species
GAUGAAGAACGUAGCGAAAUGCGAUAAGUAAUGUGAAUUGCAGAAUUCAGUGAAUCAUCGAAUCUUUGAACGCACAUUGCGCCCGUUAGCAUUCUAGCGGGCAUGCCUGUCCGAGCGUCAUUUCAACCCUCAGGGUCCCCGUUCCGGCGGGGAACCUGGUGUUGGGGAUCGGCCCGCCCCGUGCGGCGCCGUCCCCCAAAUUCAGUGGCGGUCUCGCUGCAGCCUCCCCUGCGUAGUAGUUACAACCUCGCAUCGGAGCUCAGCGCGGCCACGCCGUAAAACCCCCGACUUUCUGAACGUUGACCUCGGAUCAGGUAGGAAUACCCGCUGAACUUAAGCAUAUCAAUAAGCGGAGGA